AAAGAGGAAUGAUUUUCUCUACGCACACAAUCCGUUUAAAAUACUGAUUUUUUCUGUAUUUUAUUUCAAUCCGUUUUGUUUCUUCUUCCUCGGGUUUCGAAUCUAAUCCAUGGAAGCUUUUCUCCGCUUCGUCGAGAUUCUAUUUUGGGGACAUUGUCCCGAGCAAAAUUGUGAACUGUUGGGAAUGGUAGUGCAUGCAUGUUGGGAACUGGAAAAGAGGUUGCGAUUUGUUGGAUGGGAAUGACCCCUACGGCUUAACAAGUCUUAAGACAAAAGACAUAAAAGAACCAUCGGCUUUGAAAAAUUAUACCAACGGCUUACUGAGAUAUAAGACAAGGACAAAGAGUCAAAAAGGGAAAUGAUUAAGAAGUCUUAAGACAAAGACUAGAUCGAGAUGUUUAAGAGUUGUACCAUCGGCUUUGAAUCAGACCAACGGCUUAAUGAGAUAUAUGACAAAGGAUAAGAGUCAAAGGGGAAUGACUAAAAAGUCUUAAGACAAAGACUAGACAGAGAAAACUAAAGAGUUGUACCAUCGGCUUUGAAUCAGACCAUCGGCUUAAUGAGAUAUAAGACAAUGAUAAGAAGUCAAAGGGGAAUGAUUAAAAAAGUCUUAAGACAAAGACUAGAAAGAAAACUAAAGAGUUCACAAUUUUGUGUACCAUCGGCUUAAUGAGACAUAAGACCAUCGGCUUAAUGAGAUAUAUGACAAAGGGGAAUGACUAAAAAGUCUUAAGACAAAGACUAGACAGAGAAAACUAAAGAGUUGUACCAUCGGCUUUGAAUCAGACCAACGGCUUAAUGAGAUAUAUGACAAAGGAUAAAGAGUCAAAGGGGAAUAACUAAAGAG